UCAUCAUCAUCAUCAUCAUCAUCAUCGUCGUCAUCAUCAUCAUCAUCAUCAUCAUCAUCACUUUGUUAAACUAUAACAAAUCUGUGUUUGCACGACACAGAAUCGGUCCAGUGUGUACACUCUGCACAAAACUGUAGUCGGACAAGGGAGGCAGGAAAAACGAAAAAAAACAAAAAAAAAAAAGAGCAAAAAACAAAAACAACAACAUAUCAGUAAACAAUAACAAACAAAAACAAAACAAAACAAAAAGGUCUGUAAGAAAUUCCAUAAAAUCGAAAAAAAAAAAAGAAAAAAGAAAUUGAGUAAAAACAAAAGACAAACACUGACAAACAUACAACGAUAAACAAAUUCUGAUCCAGAGAAGAAACGAAAAAAAGUGUUGAAGUUAUUUCUUUAUAUACAUACAUACAUACAUGAAAUGCGAACUUACAGAAGAGAGUUGAAGAUAUCAAUAUUAUAAUCGCAUAUAUUUCUUUUCGCGCAUCACACGUCUUAAUUCACUGUUUUCUGUUUCUGAUUUAUUUUAUUAUUUUUCGUUUUCUUAUUGUCUUUCCGAGAUACAUAUAAUCUAUCUCCUCUUAAGUUACCGUCUGAGGAACAAUACAUUUUCUUUAUUAUUUUUCUGACAAAGCUAUCACUUCCUUUCUGCUGACUUGUUUUCAUUUUUUUAAAAUCAUUAUUAUUAUUAUUAUUAUUAUUAUUAUUAUUAUUAUUAUUAUUAUUAUUAUUAUUCUAUCUUUCUCUUUUCUUUCUUUCUUUCUUUCAUACAUAUCACAUUCCACGUCUACAUCUAUUAGAUUUUAUGGAAUCUGCCUUUUACCGAUGAAGAUAACAAGACUGAACUAAACAGAAAGAUACAGGAAGAAGAGAAGAGACAAAAAUGAUACACUAAAAAGGAAAAAAAAAACAACAACAAAAAAGCUGAAAGGAAAGAAUAAUUUUGUAUAAAUGUUCUACUAACAUUUACAUUAUAUCACAUCUAACAUAGGAUAGCAAACAUUCAGCAGGGGAACAACGAAACUGGCUAUUUCUCGCCUACAGAUUUAGCUCUCGUGUGACAUGAGGUUGGCUUGCUGCCGAAAAUCCAUCACUACGUCUGUGGAGUGAUUCCUGUAGAGAAAUAGGACGGAAUUUGCUGGUAAUUUUAGGAAGACCUCACGUUACCUUGGUUACGUCCCAGAUAUUUGGGCGAGGAUUACGUUCUUCCCAGCAGUUGGCAAAAGAUUUGCAGAAACAAAUUUCUUGCAUCAACCUGUUUUUGAUUCUAUUUCCUUCUUUCUUCUCCUGUCCCUUCUUCUGUCUUUGUCUUUUUUCCACACCAAAAUACGUCUGGAGUGAAAGACCCAAAUUAAUUUAUAUUUAAAUUAAAUCAAGUGAAUUUUAGGUUUUCCUAUGUUUUUGUUGCACACAUCACAUAUAUCUAUUUGCUUUUCAUUCUUUUCAUUGAAAGAGGAUUUGUAUCAAGCUAUAGCAGACAGCUUCUUUGGUAUACUUGUUCAUUUCUUUUAGGGUCUAUCCACGCAUUUUAAAUUUUCUUACUUAAUUCUCAUCCUGUGCAAUUAAUAUAAUUUUUGAAAUAUAAAAUGAAUUCUAAAUCUUACUUAGCAGUCAUUUUUAAAGCCCUUUCAACCAAAUAGUUAUCUUUAUUCAUAUACUGUGUGAUAUUUGUGUUUCAAAGUCUAAAUUAUGUUCUUCAAAGCUGAUAAUUUCACUGUAUAUUUCGUAUACAGUGUAGCCUCUUUGACUCUCUUAAUGGGAGGUCUAAUAGUGUAUGUGUUUUUCUGGCAUUUUUGGACGACACGUUGUGAAGAUUUAAAACCAAAGAAGCUAUAGCUUCUGUUAUUCAAAUAACGACAAAAUUAUUUUUUUCUUAAAAAUAUUCUUCAACGGGGACAAAACAGGUGAUUCUAUGAUGAAAAGAAAGAAGAAAAGAACAACGAAAAGUAAAAAAAGAUACUAAAAAAAUUAAAACCAGCGUUUUUCUUUUUGGCUUUAGGUAGAUUUUUCUCAGUCAACUCAGAAUAAUGUUCAACAAUUUUGUUCAGGAAUUCGAUCUCGCAUCGAUUUAUUUUUAUAUUUUUCUUGGGGCAAUUUAUAUCAUGAAGACUCAGAGUGAUAUUAAAGAAAUAUCUAUAAACAAUUUUAACCGUUAUUUAGAAAGCUUAAAGCUGGUUAAAUUAAAGAAAUGGCAAACUAUUGUCCAAGAAUCAACGUUUCGUAUCUUGUAACCAAUAAGAUACAAUUAGUUCAGUUCUUUUACGAUUAAAGAAUUGCGACAAUGGACUAUACAGCCAAUGUUCCAAGAUUGGCACAGCACUUUUGUUGUGAGCAGCGAAAGAAUGUUCCGAUGUUUAGCAAUGCUGAGUUCGAUUCCCGAACUUUAUUAUCGAACAACGGUGAACUUAAUGGGGAGUAUCACGUGUAAAGAACUACGCUCCACCAAACUCAAUGCCGUCAGCACUCUAUAUGAAGUGCAUAUUUUUGAGUGGUGUUCUUACAACUAAAGGAAUUGAAUUAUUAUUUAGUACGUUUCCAAAAAAGCGUUUAACGUUCCUGGGUUGAAAUGAAAUACUUCAAUUGAUUGAUGCAUAUAUAUAGAUAUAUCUAUAUAUAUACAUACCCACAUACAUAUGCAUGUGCGUAUAUAUAUAUAUAUAUAUAUAUAUAUAUAUAUAUAUAUAUAUAUAUAUAUAUAUAUAUAUAUAUAUAUAUAUAUAUAUGUAUGCAUGUGUAUGUAUGUAUGUAUGUAAGAGUGUGUGUGUAUGCAUGUGUAUGUGUGUGCAUGUAUAUGUAUGUAACGUGGGAGAAAAGAAAAAUGCCUUGUUAUCUAUGCAUAUGCCUACAUGUACACGCACAAGCAUAUGGUACACACACAAAAAACUCCACAAUUUUAUUGACUAUAGUCAUACAUUCUUCCAUUAUUAAAUUUUGUGAUAAUUAAAUUUUGUGAUAAUGCAAAUUAUUCAACUGAAGUAAACAGAACAAUUACACAUCUACGGUACAUGAAUCGAAUAAUUUAUUAUCCACGUGUACGACUGUAAGGCGCCAAUACAUACAUACGUACAUAUAUACAUACAUACAUACAUACGUACAUACGUACAUACAUACAUACAUACAUACAUACACACAUACAUACAUACAUACAUAAAUACAUAUACACAUGCAUAUUCUUGUAUGUAAAUAGAAACACGAAAGUAAAUAUUACAUCAACUCUAUACAGAUGUGAAAUGGGGAGGGCGACUCCAUGCUUUUCCUAAGAGCGUUAAUGCGUGGGCUCGUAGGUUGUUACAGUGAAUCUGUGAUUGACAUUAUGCUGAUAUCUCGGAUUGCUGGUAGCUUACCCUAUAACGACAUUAAAUGCUCUAAUGAUUUUUUAAAUGGCAGUCACCAGGCUAAUCGGUCUCUCCUGCUAUUGAACUUUUUAUCAUCUUCAAUAAUUUUCAUUUUUUUUAUUUACAAUAAAGCUUUAUAUAAAAACUA